rnacentral:ncRNA from 1 species
CUUAUUUGGUGGAGUGGAGCCAAGGAUUGCCAGAUUGAAAUCUCUUUCUUGAUUCUAUAGGUGGUGGUGCAUGGCCAUUCUUAUUUGGUGGAGUGGAGGGAUAUUUCUCGUUAAUUACCCUAACGAACGAGACCUUCAUGCAUAAUCUUUAAGACCAUGAUAACCAUGCCCUAUUCUCCAUUUUCAUCUGUCCAUCUUGAAAUGGCUUAGUCAAUUGUGUUAUGAUAAACUAAUAGAUGAACAUGUUGCGUGCAUUUGGAUCUUCAAG